rnacentral:rRNA from 1 species
CACGUAGGGCGCAAGCGUUGUCCGGAAUUAUUGGGCGUAAAGAGCUCGUAGGCGGUCUGUUACGUCUGCUGUGAAAACCCGGGGCUUAACCCUGGGCUUGCAGUGGAUACGGGCAGACUAGAGGCAGGUAGGGGAGAAUGGAAUUCCCGGUGUAGCGGUGAAAUGCGCAGAUAUCAGGAGGAACACCGGUGGCGAAGGCGGGUCUCUGGGCCGAUACUGACACUGAGGAGCGAAAGCGUGGGGAGCGAACAGG